GGCAUGCACUUGUAAUCCCAGCUACUCCAGAGGCUGAGGUGUAAGGAUUGCUUGAGCUAGGAGGUCAAGGCUUCAGUGAGCUGUGAUCGCACCACUGCACUCCAGCCUUGGCAACAGAGUGAGACCCCGUCUCAAGAAAAAAAAAAAAAGUUGAAUGAGCUGUGGCAACUCACUAGCCUAAUUAUUCCUCCUCUUCUUUCCUUCUUUGGAAAACUUCUUUCAGACAAAUUUUUAUUCAGAAUCCAACUUCUAAAAUGUUAAAAAGUGGUGCUGCUCUGUCUGAAGUUGGAAGAUGGGGGUAGAUGUGUGUGCAGCGUUCCAUAAGUCCCCGAAGGUCUCCUUUCUGUCUCCAAAUGCUGAAGGGCUUUGGAAACAGUUUGAAAGCUGGGGACAGUUGAGGAGAGGAGGCCAUGGCUGCCCAAGGCCACCCAGCUAGCUGGUUUCAGUCUAAGGACCAGACCCUGCUGCCCAUCUUCAACUAAAGAUUAACACAGGUUGCUUUGCAAGGUUGGCCUGCUGUGUUAACAUACCCACUGGCAGCCAGGUGCAGUGGCUCCUGCCUGUAAUCCCAGCACUUUGGGAGGCCAAGGUGGGCAGAUCACUAGGUUAAGAGAUCGAGACCAUCUUGGCCAACACGGUGAAACCCCAUCUCUACUAAAAAAUUCAAAAAUUAGCUGGAUGUGGUGGUGUACGCCUGUAAUCCCAGCUACUUGGGAGGCUGAGGCAAGAGAAUCACUUGAACCCACGAGGCAGAGGUUGCAGUGAGCUGAGAUCAUGCCACUACACUCCAGCCUGGCGAAAGAGUGAGACUCCAUCUCAAAAAAAAAAAAAAAAAAGAUACCCACUGGCUCAAAGGGUAGCUUGGCAGAGUUACUAUGUUGAAAUAUUGCCUUGCAGGUGCCCUACCCUGGGUGGCACAAUUCCAUGGGCCCUGUUCCUGUCGUGUGCUAUGGAGUUGGCUUUAGGGGGUUGCUACUCAUAUACAUUAGGUAGAUAGAUGGUGUCUUCUAAAGUGACAAAGGUCCAAGAACCCACUGAUUUUGGAAUCAAGGUGAAGUCGGGCCCUGAAGGAGCAGAUUAGUCAGUCUCCAGCAUGAAAGUGACAGCCUGUGAGCAAAAGUCUUCCAACCUGAGGUGGCAGACCACAACAGUGACCCUUCCAAUUAGCACAUGUGUCCUGGGCCUAGCUCUGGAAGCUGUCAUGGUAGACAUGAGAUGGGAGGAUGGGUGGCAUGGACCCCAAAGAAAGAGAGCUGGGAGAUUUGGUCUCUGUGCUUGGGGCUGGAGAAUGCGGGCCUGAGGACCCCAGUCGAAUGGAAGUGUGAGACUGUGGAUCAUGACUGGAUGCUGGAGGGUGCUUCCUGGCCUAUUCACAGCAUCACCUUUGAUGCCCCCAAGCCCUCUGAGGCAGGUACGACUCAGAGCGUAGUUUUUCCAUUUUGCAAAUUAGGAGACUGAAGUUCAGAGACUUGUUGGAGAUCACAGCAGCACUGGGCCAUUUGGACCUAGAGCUGUUCUCCCUUCCGAGUCAGUGCGUGAUGCCAGAGAACAUCCCUGGGUGAGGUUUGAAGAGAGUGGCCAGAGAGACUUUUCUAUCUGGGGAGUGUGAGGUCCACAUUUCCUGCAGGGCUUCCCCACUUACAGUGUCUCUCAGCCUCACUGAUGACCUGCACCUGGCUGGAGUUCUUUUGGUCCCUUCCCUACCUCAAGAACCGAUUUGACUGCUCCCAUUUACAGGGAAGGAACUAAGAAGAAAAGAAAACACUCCUAAACAUGAAAGAAAUCACAGUCUUUCUCCGGAACUAAAGGCUUUUACAGGAGUGCAGGGGGAAAAAAUCUGAUCAUUCUUGGCAGCUCUUGAACAAAUUAGAGUGUUGGAAGAAUGGAUGAAAGAGUGAGGGGUGUGUUGGAGUGUGGAACAGUUGCACAGUCCUAACGAAACAAGGAAGGCUUCCCCAGUGAGUGCCUGUCCCCUGCUACGUCUGUGAAGUCAGGGGUAACACUGGAGUCUGAUGCUGGGAAACAACCAUUGCCCUUUCAAUCUCAGCUUGAACCACAUUUCCCCAGGGACUCUUCUCCAAUCCCUACACUAGGCUAGCCCCUUUAUUUUGUGGUCUUUGUGUCCCCUGUACUUGACCUUUGUAACCCAGAUUGUCCUUGUAAUUCUUUGUCCAGUACCUGUCUCCCUGUUUUGACUGUGAACUCCGUAAGGGCACAGGCUUUGUCUACCUUGUUUGCCACUUGUACUCCUUAGGAAUCUUUUAGGUACAAUAAACAGAAGAUCCAAACCAAGGUGAACUAGCAAAAAUGAACUUUUGGUUCUGCCCAAGGGUAGAGUUAGUUUCAGGCUAGGUUGGAUUUAGGGGUUCUGAAUAAGCCAGCCAGAUUUGAUCUCUUUCCCUCUCUUGGAUCUACUUUGUCUUUCUCUUUGUGUUGGUGUCAUUCUCAGGGUUCUCAUGGUGCUGUUAUGGCUGUCCUGUUUCUUACCCAGAUGCUUUCAGGAAAGAGUAAGCUCCUCUUCCUGGUGACUACAGCAAAAUUCCCAAGACUAACUCUGUUUGGCUUGGCUUGAGUAAUAUGUCCAUCCUGAACCAAUCACUGCAGCCCAGACAGCAUGGUGCUCUGAUUGGCCAGUGUAGCACACAUGGAUCAUUGUUCACCCAAAAGCUAUCCCCUCUUCUUCCUUGAUAACAAGAACCCAUCAGGUAUCUUUUUGUUUUGUUUUUUGUUUUUUGCCCACCUCUUGAUACUCAUUAGAUAUCAAGAGUUGGGCAAGAUGCUCACAGAAGGUGACCUCUUCCCAAUCCAGGAAACUAUUCAUGGUAAUCCCAUUCCCUUUUGGCGGGAAUUGGUUUAAAAGGGUGCAUUGUAGGCUGUGCGUGGUGACUCAUGCCUGUAAUCCCAGCACUGUGGGAGUGCGAGGUGGGCUGAUCACUUGAGGUCAGGAGUUCAAGACCAGCUUGGCCAACAUGGUGAAACCCUAUCUCUACUAAAAAUACAAAAAUUAGCCAGGCAUGGUGGUGCACGCCUGUAAUCCCAGCUACUCAGGAGGCUGAAGCAGGAGACUCGUUUACACCCGGAAGGCGGGGGUUGCAGUGAACCGAGAUUGUGCCAUUGCAUUCCAGCCUGGGCAACAGAGUGAGACUCCAUCUGAAAAAAAACAAAACAAAACAAGGUGCAUUGCCCCACUUCUGACAAAGAGGACACAAUGCAAAGUGUACUGGAGAAAUGCUCCUCUCUGGCAAGUCAGAUAUGUAGGGGUGGGGCUAGCUGCCUGCCCAACCCUUCUUGCCUUUGGAUAUUGUUGUAAGGGGAUGGAAGUUUGGAGUCAUCUUGCAACCAUGAGGUGAGAUAAUGCUAAUAUAUGAAGGUUGGCAGAGUGGGAAAAUGUCUACCCCUGGCUAUUUUGUUGUUUUACUUCUACUAGCAUGUACCUGUGCCUUAAAAAAAGAGGAAAAAAUGCUGUACACAGGCUCCUGGAACCCCUUUGCCUGCACGUGAAGUGUCAGAAAUGCCUGGGCUUUACAUUUCUACCAGGGCAGGCUUUACCCGUAACUGUCUGAUGCAGAAGUCUGAAAGCCUAGCACCUUUGCUUUGAAUUGGGACAAACUCUGAGGCAUGCUUUACACUCCAGAGCUUGCUGAAGGAUCGGGCUGAGGCCUGGACUUUGCUUGAAAUCAACCUUUGAAUGGAGUUUUCCCUUCCCUGUCCUGCUCCCCCCACCCCCACCCCCUGCCAGACGCCCCUGGGAGCACUUCCUUAAUCAAUCGCUUGCACACAAAUCGUUAGCUUCUUCUGGGGGACUUGUCGUAUCACCAGGGCUUACACAUCACAGCUGCUCUGUAAAUAUUUGUUGCCUGAGUGAAUGAAUACAUGAAUGGAUGAACAAGCUGGGGAAAUCACAGGCAGGUGGAAUCUGAACAGGUUAUUAUACUAAUUACAGGCUGUCUACUUUUUUUCCCUUUGCCUCUGUGAAACAGGUUGGCCCUUUGGGGAAUUUCCCCAAAGCUUUUGAAGCAGACAAGGUGUCUUCUCACUAGGCUCAUAUGCUUCCUAAUUGGGCAGGCCAUUAGAAAAUGAGGUCAUCUCCCCAGGGAAGGAGGAGGGGCCUUAUCACUCAGGACAAGGGCCCUAGGGUGGGGACAAAACUGCCUGAACAUCUGCAAUGUCCAUUGUUACUUGAGCAGCUGGAGGGAAUGACCAUUCUGGAAUAAAUCAACUAAACCUUUGACCUGAACUCCAGUUUAAUUCACUCUUCCCCUCCAUUAGCUAGUGUAAGGGAUGGUGGGGGGGCAGAAGGGGAGGGAUAACAUAUUUUAUUUUUAUGGCAUUUUUAUUCCAAAUGACCUGUUGGGUCAAACCCACUUUCCUUUCAUGAAUUAUGCAUUAGAGGAGCCCUUUUGCUUUCCUAAUGGCUUUAGUUGAUUUCACCUCCCAGAAAGAUAAAACAAAAAAUCAAGAAUUUCAAUUAAAAAGUUCACCUCUUGCCAUAUCAAUUGACAUGGUUUUAAUUGGGUCAUUCCAUAAAGAGUCUCUGUUGGUACAAUUUUCAAGCUUCCUAGGCUCUUAGAAAUCAUCCAGCUCCAUCCCCAUAUUUCAGGAGGGAGGAUAAAGAACCUGGAGAUGAGAAAUGACAGGCCCAAGUUCACACAGUUAGUGAGUGUCAACAGCUAUUAAGGGAAAGAGAUGGGAAUAUAUGCUACUCACUUUAUUUCCAGUCCAGUGUUCUUUUGUGCAAAGAAACCUAGAGAGGUAAUAUAGUUGCCAUGGGUGCAGAACAAAUUGCUCCAAAACCUAGUGGCAUGAAACAAUCACUCGUGGAUUCUGUGGAUUGGGAAUUCGAUAGGGCAAAUGCUUCUCCAUGUUUCUUGAUGUCUGCGGACUGAGCUGAAAGGGCCAAACGCUUGGGGCUGGGUUCAUCUGAAGACCUGUUCAUUCGCAUGAGUAGAUGCUGUCUGUUGACUGACUGAGGCUUUAGCUGGAGUCGUUGGCUAGAACCUCUAUAUGUGGCCUCUCCAUGUGGUCUGGGCUUCCUCACAACAUAGUGACUGGAUUCCAAGGGGGAGAGUCCUGAGAAAAAGAGAGAGAGAGCGAAAUAAAGAUUGGUGGAAACUUCCAUUAAAGUCACUCAGUGUCACUUCCACAACAUUCUGUUGGUCAUAGCAGUCCAAUAAGUUUCAAGGACAGGGAAUGCAGACCCUGCGUCUCAAUGGAAUAGUGUUAGUCACAUUGAAAGAGAGCAUAUUGAAGCCAUCUUUGGAAAAUACAAUCUGCCACAAGAGAGUUAGGGCUAGUACCCAUUAAGUUUGGCUGAAUUGUUCAUUUAGUAUCUGUCUUUCCUAUUGGAUUAUAAUUUCCUAAAAGGCAAGGCGUGUGUCUGUCUUGUUUGCUGGCAUGCCUGUGUCCAGCACAGGUGCCGCUGACUCAGAGUAAGAAGUUAAUACAUUUUUGUUUGGAAAGUACAUAUCAAAAAGAAAGUCUUCAUUGGCUAAAAAUAUACUCAAAUAUUUCCCUCUCCUCUUCACAGUAGACUUUCCUAUUCAUCAAGAACUUGAUGACCGGGUGCGGUGGCUCAUUCAUGUAAUCCCAGCACUUUGGGAGGCUGAGGAAGAUGGAUCAUUUGAGGCCAGGAGUUUGAGAUCAGCCUGGCCAGCAUGGAGAAAUAUUAUCUCUACUAAAAAUACAAAAACUAUCCAGGCGUGGUGGCAGGCGCCUGUAGUCCAGCUACUAAGGAGGCCGAGGCAGGAGAAUUGCUUGAACCCGGGAGGCAGAGGUUACAGUGAGCCAAGAUCAUGCCACUGCACUCCAGCCUGGGUGACAGAACAAGGUUCCA
rnacentral:lncRNA from 1 species